rnacentral:rRNA from 10 species
GUUUUAAAAGAUGACUUUUCGAAUGAUUCUUUUAUUAUCUUAGCGGCGGACGGGUGAGUAACGCGUGAGAAACCUGCCUUUCACAAAGGGAUAGCCUCGGGAAACCGGGAUUAAUACCUUAUGAUACUUUUAAAUAGCAUUAUUUAAAAGUCAAAGCGUAAAGCGGUGAAAGAUGGUCUCGCGUCCCAUUAGCUAGUUGGUGAGAUAAAAGCUCACCAAGGCGACGAUGGGUAACCGGCCUGAGAGGGUGAACGGUCACACUGGAACUGAGACACGGUCCAGACUCCUACGGGAGGCAGCAGUGGGGAAUAUUGCACAAUGGAGGAAACUCUGAUGCAGCGACGCCGCGUGAACGAUGAAGGCUUUCGAGUCGUAAAGUUCUGUCCUAGGGGACGAUAAUGACGGUACCCUAGGAGGAAGCCCCGGCUAAUUACGUGCCAGCAGCCGCGGUAAUACGUAAGGGGCGAGCGUUGUCCGGAAUUAUUGGGCGUAAAGGGUUCGCAGGCGGCCUUUUAAGUCAGAUGUGAAAUCUCACGGCUUAACCGUGGUAAGCAUUUGAAACUGGAAGGCUUGAGUUAAGGAGAGGAAAGUGGAAUUCCUAGUGUAGCGGUGAAAUGCGUAGAUAUUAGGAAGAAUACCAGUGGCGAAGGCGACUUUCUGGACUUAUACUGACGCUGAGGAACGAAAGCAUGGGGAGCAAACAGGAUUAGAUACCCUGGUAGUCCAUGCCGUAAACGAUGAGUGCUAGGUGUUGGGGGUCAAACCUCGGUGCCGCAGCUAACGCAUUAAGCACUCCGCCUGGGGAGUACGUACGCAAGUAUGAAACUCAAAGGAAUUGACGGGGACCCGCACAAGCAGCGGAGCAUGUGGUUAAUU